GCCCGUCCGCCACCCUCGCUGACGGGUGGGGCCCACCUGUCAUCCCCGUCCUCCCGCCGCUCCCGCCGCCCGCCCGCGCCAAGCGCCGCCACCGCCGCCGAAUCCGCCG
rnacentral:sRNA from 1 species